GCAGAGGGGACGAUGAGGUGCGGAGGCGUUGGCAGUUGACUUUUGCUGAUGGAGCCUCUCUGAAGGGCAAAUUCAAAGUACAGCUGGGUGCUGCAGCACUGGAGUGCGAACUUGUGGCUGUGGUUAUGAAGGAGCCUCGUCAGCUAUGCCUUUAGCCCCUGGUGAAGCAGUGCCAGUCACACUUUGCCAGUCAAACGGAGAGGCAGCAGUAGUAAGACCAGACCAAAUCAAACCAAACCAAGCAAACCACGGGGAAUGGAGGUGUCAUGUGAGCACACAGCAUAAAGGCAGCUGCCCACAAGCCAGGAAGAGAAGCAUCAUCAGAAACCGACCAUACUGGCUUCCUGAUCUCAGACUUUCAGCCUCCAGAAUAUUAUUGCCUGCUCCUCCAAGCCCUUCACUGUAGAAUGGAAGCCUGUGAUUUUCCUGGCAUCAUGCAUGACUGAGAAGGUCAGUGUGGCUAAUUCUGAGCUUCAACAUCAGGAAACCCGUAGUUCUUCACACUGAGCCGCCUCCUGCAGCACAGUCAUCCUUGGU
rnacentral:lncRNA from 1 species